UCCCUCCUUGGCCUCUAAGGAGAGCCGUAGAGGCUGAGGUGGAGCUGCUCCGGUCUCAAUUUGUCAGGUUCUAUGGUCGCGCGAUGGCCUUUAAGGCCGAGCUCUGGGACUGGGAGCUACGGCACCAUCUAGUCCAGGUUCUGGAUUUUUUUGGGACACGUGGCUCUUCCAUGGUGGAGCAUGUUGAUAACGUCUCGCGACGUGUUUGGAGCGCUGUUGGUCUUGGUGCUCGUUGAGGUGUCACCGCGACGUUGCUCGUCAGGGAACUCAGGACAUGCAUGUAGUAAUCUUGAGGAGGUCGUUUGUCCUCCCUCGGCCAUACCGGACGAAGGCCUGAUGGAGGUGCUGGAGCGUCAUGACGAUGCGGCGAGUCGUGUCGUUCGUAGGACAUCCGUGGAUGAAGUCGUUCGCGACACUCCUGAUCCUGGAUUGUAAACGCACACUGUUGUGAUUUUUUUUUUUUGAAAUAAAAGGAAAGUUGG